UAGAGUUAAAGCUGUUUCAGGGGAACAGACAGAGCUCCAUUCACUUUCCAGGGAUGAACAAAUGCAACACAUUAGGCAGCAACGCCAUCAUUCACUCUUGAUAAUCAGAUUUUCUUUUCCACGAGGACUGUAAUCCUAAUUGAAAUAAGAAUUUGAUUAUUCACCGAGUCCUAACCCAAAAUCUCUGUAUCCCGCAAUGAGGAACAAUAUUAGUUUUUUUUUCAACAUUGUGCAGCAAAAAAAAAAAAUUAAAAAAUUGAUUUGUUUUUAAUUUUCAGACUAUUUCACAUUUGCUUCUUCAUUCUGUUAAAGUGGUUGUUGUCUUUGUUUUAAUCUUCAACAUGUUCUUUCUCGUGGAAAAUCUCCAGUUUCUUACUGAAAAAAUGCAAAUUGAAGAAGAUUAAUCCGAUGAAAAGGCUGUUUUCAUACGAGUUUCCUUUGGCAUUAGUGCUCAAGAUACAAACGGCCUCACUGUGGCGUAUUAUCUCUGGUAGGUAAUGGAUCACUUUCAUAAGCUGAACGUCUUUGGCUCAUUAUUUUGAGGUAGGGAGGCAAAAAAAGCUCUAAUAACUGUCUUAUUGCUGUCAGUUUCCAGCUGUGUGUCUGCUAUUAUCUUUACUAAAGUGAGGGAUAAUAGCCAAUUACUAGGAAUAUUGUAUCAUAAGUAAGUAGCAAUACUUAAAUACAGUACUUGAGUAUAAUUUUGAAGUAUCUGUACUUUACUGGAGUUUUUUUGUGCCUGCAACUUUUACUUCUACUUGGCUACAUUCCUAAAAUAAAAGUAUACUUUUACUCCACUACAUUUCACAAAAGCGUCUUCGCUGCUACUAUUUUUACUUUGUUACUAUGACAGCGGGUAGGGGAAAAAACUUUUUGCCUAUUGUUGAUUUGCAUUGUGCUUGCUCAUGUCCCCAGCUGCUUGUAGGCUGUGCAGUUGCUUACACUCAGCUAAAUGUCCAGUGGCUGUUUUGAUGGUUCUCGACAUGCCUAACUUCUGUCCUAAGUUCCCUCUUGACUGUAGGAGGAUGCACUAUUGUUUCUUCUGAUUGGUGGUGUCUGUGUGUGCGUGUGACUUUUUACUUUAGCUUUUAAUACUAAUAAUUAGAGAAGUAAUAAGAGAAGCAAGUGGUCAGCGACAUUCAUCUCUCGACGGGGUGUCUUACUUUGUGUUACGGUGUGUUUGACCCUAAAUUAAUUUUACGCCAGAAUAUCCCUUUAAUUCUUGGACUCGAGUAGAAUUCUCAUGGGAGACUUUCACAUUGACUAGUCAUUUUCUGGUAAGGUAACUUUACUUCAACUCAAGUAUAUUUAUGUAGUACUUCACGGCGACACGGUAUAUGACAUAGGAUGACAUCUAAAAGCUAAUAUGCAGACCUUAUAGGUUAAAACGCCAGCGCACUUCUUGCAAAGACGGUGAUGUUGCAUUUCUCACACCUGCAGUGAAAAGAAAAAAACGAUUGUCUUCCACCGCCGGCUCCUACCUUAGGAGAGACAGGCAGACUCUCGGCAGUUAAACCACUGUGAAUGAGGAGAAUAGACUUCAAAGAUAAGCUGAUUUACACACAACUCUUCACCUCUCGAAUGCUGAUACGGGGGAUGUUAGCGUUUGGAGUUGAAGCAAACCCGUCUGCCUGUGAUGUACUGCACAGAGGGGACAUGUACUAUUUCAUCUUCCUCCAAAAAAAUGCUCCAUCUUCUCUCUUCCCUUGUACUAUUCACUCGCUCUCAUGCAAGUACUUAUAAACAUGAUGCAUGUGAUAUUAGCAUGUAUUAAAAGGAGAGAAACAGAAUAUAUACAGCCUGAAAACAUCUGCGUUUAUCGUGUUUUGCAUGAAUUAACACACAAUCAAGAAAUCUGUUCACUUCUUUUAAUCAAAAUGCUCUAAACUUAAAUACUAGAUUCCAUCAAAGUAGAAGGAUAAAUCUUAACCGACUGAAAAGGGGCUUUUUUUAUUAUUAUUAUUGUUUUUCUGCAACCACACAGAAACUGAAAAAUGACCAGCUGUGUUGGUAAAAGCAAAUUGCUUGUUGAGAUAAAGACAGAAAGUGUUAUCGUAUAAUAGAAUGUGCUUUUGAUCCACAGAGGACAUAAAAAAUGCAUUACAGGAGAGCAAAAUGUAUCAGAAGAAGAAGCUGUUUAAAGAUAUCUGAGCUCGGGGUCGCAGCGUACUGCAGGAGAACGAUGGGAUGAGAGUGGACUGUAAACACCUCCGAUACUUAAUACACAAUCGGAAACAGUUUUGAUAUUCAUUUCUGCAGACCUGCAUGCACCUCACCCUGCGGUAAAUGUUUACUCUGUUCAGAUUUGACGUCUUUUGUCUGCCUGCUUCCGAGUGAUAAGUCGCCUUUGUGAAUCUCAAAAUCUUUCUGUUUCUUCAGCUGCUCAUCAUCCGACUCUCCUGCUGCUUUUUUUCCCCUCCUGCCCCACCUCUCUCUGGCCUUUCUUCUCAUUUCUUCUCUCCUGCCAUUCUUGCUGGUGAUGAGAGGCAUUAUUUCUCAGAGCUUUUCCGCACCCGGGAGGCCACCGCCGGGCUUUUGGCAGACGUUGAUAAGGGAUGAUGCUGCGGUUGCCAAGCCAUACAAAUUAUUUCAGGAAUAAAGAGAUCAAUUGCAUCUUUUAGCAAAUCCUCCUCCCUUCCCAGACCGCUGUUCACUCUGAGUUUAUUUUUCACUGUCAGAAUAAAAGUUUUUUUUUUUUUUUUAUGGGGGAAACAAAGAAAAAUCUGAGUGAGGCAAGUUUUAAACGGCAGUAUGCACCAGGGGUCAUACCUGAGAAACUGAAAAGUCAGCUGUUCUGUGGGCUGAAGUUGGCAUUUAGCAACCGAAGCAACAAAUUAAGACUUUGAAAUUUUGUGUUUUGAUUCGCGUGAAUGAAUCAGUUUCUUGGCUCUGAGCUUUAGGAUUAGUCCAAGAAGCAUUCACAGUUUUAAGAAUGAAAAUUAACUUCUUUUCUUCCUGAGAUUGUAAUAGUAAGUUUGACUCCAAAAGGGGGAUCAUUGUCGCUCAGCUCAGCCAGGAGGGAGCCCGUGGAGUGUUUUUAGUUUAUAAAAUCCUUCUUAUGUCUGUUUUUUUGUAUGUAAGUUUUAAAUUUGUGUCGUGUGGACUUACUGAGUUAGAAGCAUGUAAAAAACACUCGAUCUGACCCAAAAAACUCUCAAAAUGAACUACGCUCAACUCCGUGACUCCGCCCCCUCAAAAUUAUGUCCUCUUUUUGGGAACUCGCAAUAUGACCACCCUAAUUUUGGAACAAUGUCAUGAUGUUGGCACAACUUUGUACCGCAUAGAGACACAUGCACAAACUGUCUCUGUGAGGCAUCCUGCACUAUAGUGAAAGAUGAAUCAGUAAGGGCCUGUGUCCACUGACUGCAUCUACAGUUUCCUUAACCUCAUUUCUUAGUGUCUCUGUUGUCCUGUGGCAUUUCUGCUUCCCUUAGAAGUGACCAGAAAGAAGUUGUAUUUGCUUUAUUUAAGGGAGUUUUACAAAGACCACAUAAUAACAGCGCAUAAGAAUCAGGUUGUAGCAUAAGCAGGAGCUUUAACUUGGAUAAUUUGCCUUUUUUUUCUCUUUACAGACCUCCAUCUUUGUUGUACACUCUGCACUCUGUCUCACUGACUGACAUAAGCAGGAGCUUUAACUUGGAAAAAUCUGCCUUUUUUUCAUCUUUGUAGACCUCCAUCUUUGUCUUUUCUUGGUCGGUAAAGAGGAAGUGACAUCGUCCUCAAGUUACCCCAAUGUCUUCCCAUUUUCAGCUGCGAGUGCUGCAAGCACAGCAACAAAAAAAGAAACUAAACAUAAUUUGUUGUUGAGUGCAUCAUUAUAAAGAAGCGGUGAUGGUUUAAUAGAUUUUUCCUCUCAUUAUGACACUGAAUCUUAUUGUGUUGUCGCACUGAAAAGCGAGACAGAUGUUUAAACAAAUCUGUUUACAGCAGUAAAAGAAAAAACCUUAUAGUCUGCGAGAGGUAGAAAAACAUUUGCGUGUUUGAAAGUGAGAUGGAGCUGCGACGGCUAAAUUGUUACUUGUAAUGUUUUUGUACUUGUGUAUUUUUAAUGAGUUGUACGGUGCAGGGAAUGGUUUUACAGGGCUUUGGUGAGGGACGCUUUAGAGAGUAGCAUAAUGGCGAUUGAGAAUUUUUCCCAUUAAAGGCGACAAAACAAGCUGCUGCGCUUUUUCAUCUGCUGGGUUGUAGACAGAACCUCCUGCCUGAUUUCCUGAGUGCUAAAGCACAUUUUUAAUUAUGACUAUUUAUCAAAGAGAUGUUCCCUUUUCUAAAAGCACCUGUAUGAAGCCUAACUCAUUUUAAAAUAGACUUAUUUUCAUACUAAUGCCUUUAUAUGAGCUACUACAGUCAUUCAAAGCCUGCAAUCAAGGUAAGGAGUUAAAAUGAUAAACAGCGUACUGCUAACAGAACUUUUUUUAAAUGUUCCACCAAGACAAACGCUUGACUCGUCAUCUAAUAGAAGGUGCAUGAUACUUUUGACUUACUAAUUGAGUCAUCUAGAGAGUUUAAUUUUAAUAAUAAAGAGCAGUCUGGCUGUAGACCUCUACUGUCAGGAACCACCUCCACUGAGAGGACCUGAGGUGACACUUUUUCUCAUGCGCUCCAGUUUGUUUGAAGUGGUCAUCCUGUGAUGUAUUUUGUCUUUGGUACACAUAAAUACACAAAAAAUCAACCAAGAAAUAAAAUAUCUUCACACGAGACAAAAAAUACAUACCUCCCCGUGUAAUCGCUUUUGAUUUUAAAAGGCUUUAAAUCAACUUCAGACAUUAAAAAAAAAAAAUCCUGGUAUAUAAGCUUUUAUUUUAAAAGACUUUAAAUAAAUUUCCAACAUGAGAAAAAAUAGAAUAAAAAUAAACUCCUCCCGCUAUAUUAGCUUUUAAUUUGAAAAUUAUAAAAAAUAAAAAAAUUAAAAAAUCCUAGUAUAAUAGCUUUUAUUUCGAAAGGCUUUGAAUCAACCCCCUGCCAAAAAAAAAAAAAAAAAUACAUAAAUAAAUCUCCUUCCGAUAUAUAAGCUUUUAUUUUGAAAGGCUUUCAAUAAACUUCUAAUGUAAAAAAAGAAAAAAAAACUACCUGGUAUAUAAGCUUUUAUUUUGAAAGGCUUUGAGUCAAUUUCCGACAUAAAUAAAAACCUUACUCCCAGUAUAUUAGCUUUUAUUUUGAAAGGCUUUGAAUCAACUUUCAACAUGAGAAAAAAAAAAAAAAGAAAAAACUACUCCCGGUUUAUUACCUUUUAAUUUGAAGACUUUGAAUCAACCUUAUGACCUAAGUACUCCCUGUAUAUUCUUAAAGGCUUCAAAUCAGGUCUGCAGCCAGACUAUCAGAAAAUAAUAUGUGAAAAUAAUGAAGUUAAAGCUGCUGUAAGGAGUUUUUGAUCGGAUAUGAAACAGGCUGAAAUGAGCAGUGAUGCAUUUUUAUGACGUAAAAGAGUAAAUGAGACCGUUUAAGAUAAGAUGAACAUUUUCUUCAGGGACAUUUUUAACUCCUGUAACUGCUGCAGAAGGGUAGGCAGGCUGAAGACACAACCUUUAUUUUUCACAGUAGUAUUCAACAUGAUUGAUCGAUCUCACUGUAAAAGAGGGAGGGGAAUUUUGUCAUCAAUCAUCACUGCUUUCACAAGGAUAGGACGAAUGAGCUUUAAAUAAUCGAAUCUUAUUUUGGACCUGUAUUUCAUAAAGCAUAGAAAACUACUUUCACAUCCAGAUGACAUCUUGAGAAGCUGAUUUCAUAGCUGCAUGGCUGCAUGCAUUACCUCAGGUCAUUGUGGUGCAGUAUGUAGUUCGCAGCACCAUAUCUCUUCAUACACCGGGCCUUUGCUUUAUGUACAAUGAUGUGGAAAAUCAGCCGCACAUCCUUCAGAGUAAAUGACAGAAACGAGUGGACAUGAUGGUGUCCCUGCAGCCCUUAAUGAGACAUGAAUGAUGGAGCAUUAUGAUGGUGGUCUUUGUCAUUUCCAGACAUGUUACUGCUUCAUAUCAUUGUGCUGAAUGGGCUGUUACUCAUUAUUGGAGAUCAGGGCAUGUAUGUGUGCCUGUGUGAUGGUGGGAUAUAAAGAAGGAUGGUUGGACGGACAGCGUUAGCCUGCCGUGUCACUGAGGUUUCUGUGUGUGGGCAGGCUUUUGUAAAGAAAAACUGCACAUGAACUCAUCACAUCGCCCACUACUGUUAUUUAGACUCUUAUUACGCCUUUUUUCUCAAUGUCUGUAGAGAAUAAAGUAAGUUUUUAAGAGAGUGACCCCACAGAGACCUCCUUGUGUGCUUUUUUAAGAGAAAAAAAGAAAUCACAUAAUUGGUAAUAUUGGAGGAAAUUACAUUUUUGUAAUUUUGUUAUCAAGACUUUUUUGUAUCCCGCUCUAAUUUUCCUUCUUUCUGUCUUUGUUUUCUUCUCGAACUACCACACAUUUUCUCUAUGCAGAUAUGUUCGGUGGCUGUGCUUAUUUCUACGCUAUUAUCAGUAAUCACGUCAAAGGCUACGGGCUAAAAGAGCAGUCUUUGUCAAGAUGUCCUUGAAAAUGGCAAUUAACCCUGAAGUGCUUCAGUGGAGCGGUCACAGUAGGUUGUGGCGGCAAAGCGGCUGCUCUCCUCUACACAGAGGAGUGUCGACUGAAGUGUGAGUGUAAAAUAUGAAGUCGAAAAGGGAAGCCUGAGGGUUGGGGAGUGGGCUUACGGCUGAAAGGUUGCCAGGUUGUAGGAAAUAAACGAAAAGGGUCCACCGCUCCCUCAGCCGACAGCUGCCGAGUCCUCCUUCAUGUGGGUAGAAACCCCAAAACUGCGACAAUGGAACAGCUUAGCAGCAAAUGUUAGAGGAGCGCUGAUUGUAGUGGGCAGCUCCCAGAUGUGGAUGUUUACAAAUCUGAAAGUGAACUCUCCUCAACACAUUUGCACACAAACUGCAAGAUCUUGAACGAUUGGACUCCAAGUUCCAAGGUCAAACUUUUGUAACUUACGUAUGCUGCAAGAGGAGGAAAUCUUUUAAUUGAGGCCAAGCAUGAAUGAAUAAUAAUCAUGUUAAAACAAUAGUAACUCAACAUUGAAAACUAACAUGUCAGUACCUGCCUUUGGACUACUAUUAUGCAAAUUCUGGCGUACUAACAUUGAUGCAAUUGAUACAAUAUGUUUAAUAACAUUAUUAAACAUAUUGUAACUUAUCGAAAUAUGACGAAUAUCAUAACACAUCAGAGGUUGGCAUAUCAUAGUAUAUAGUGUCCUAGUGUAGGGCUGGGCAAUAAACCAAACAUUUACAGAUACCAAAAUUUACGACGAUAACAGGCAACAUUUUGCACAAAACGAUAUAUUCUGUGUCGAAUAAAUAGAUAAAUAAAAGUUAGUUUUGGAUGUGUGUAGGUAGGCUCUGGUCUCAUGUCCCGUUAAGAUGCUUCUAUGUCAGAGAUGUCACUCCACCCCAUCCAGUCCGUAACAAAGAGGGAAAGACAGGUGAGGAGAUGGAGGACAGUUCAAAAGUUGUAGCGGCUGAAGUAGAUGAAGUUAAUGUGGGAGGGGUUGAGCAGCUUGUGGAGUAGUUAUCGUCCAUUUAUCGUUAUCGAGGUGAACUGAUCAAUAUAUCGUGAUAUUGAAGUGAGGCCAUAUCGCCCAGCCCUAUAGCAUUAUGGUAUCAAAUGAUAAGCAUUGUAGGAUAUUGUAACAUAUCAUAGUAUAUUCAAUCAUGAUUGUAUUUUUUUGUAGUGUGGUCAAAGAUAUAUUGUUGUUUUGUUCUGUAAAGAGGAAAUCGUUCUAGGAAAUAUCUGCGUAAACACGAAACCACUUAGAAUGACUAAAAUCAAUGCAGUGAAUAUGCUGAGCCAAUAAGUGGCGCUGUAACACUGCCAAGGAAAUGCGUUUGCGGAUUUAUGCGCUUUUUAAAAAUUAUUGUUUACAGUCACCGGAUACACCAUUUCUGUAUGGACGGGGCAUUAGCUUAGCUUGUUUAGCUAGCUUGCUUAAAAGAUUGAGCUAGAUGCUUUUUCACUUUGUUCAUCAUACAAACUUUAAACAAGAACAAUUUUAAAAAAAUGAUAAUUAAGGAUUUGACCAGUCGAGGUUUAGCCCUUUUGUCCGCCUUCAUGCUAAACUUUGUUCUAUCUGUAAGUAUGUUAUGAGUAUUAUUGAGAUUCUCGUCUUAACUCUUGCUUAGUAAAGAGGGUUAAUAUUUCUCAAAAUGUCAGAAGUGUUUGAUAGUGAGAAGUUUAUCCAGGGAUCUCGUUCCUUCAUCAGUCAUUCAGAAAGGUGGUCCAGAGCAGAGCACAGAGGUACCACUCCCCCUGCUUAAACCUAUCAUUUGAGAAGUAAAGCCUACUUGUCAGAGUAGCAAACCUAUGACCUUUUGUAUGAUUGAAACCAGCCAGUGAAUGGCACAUCACAUUAUUUGAUGUCAUUGCCUCGAUCGGUACAAUCAGUCAAGCAUUAAAUGUCUACUUUAUAGCUGUUCUGAAUGUCACUCUCUCUCCUCCUCUUUGAAAAGAGACGCUUUGAGUGAGCAAAGCUGCGAGGCACCGCACAUCUCAAUCACAUCGGUUCCUUACAGUGUCUCAGCACAAGAAAGGAGGUGAAAUCCUCCGAGUGACGAUUUAUUUAUCUCCAUAUUUUUGAUUUACUAUUGAACAGAAUCAUUGCUAGACGACAUGUCACUCGAUGUCUUCAUAAGGAUGAUAAAACACUUUUUCAUGAGGCAAAAAAGAGGAGCUGGAUUCAGUUCAAAGUCUGCCCCUGUUUGAUGAAGGUUAUCUCUGACUGCAAUGUCAUUUCUGCUUUUUCACCUCUUUUGUCGAGUCAGUGCCAUCCUUUACUUUCUGCUUCGCUGUAAAAUCCAAUAUUCUGUCAAAAGUUUAGCUUAGCCCCCUCAUCCAAUAUUCAGAUUUUUUGCUCAGAGGUUAACAAAGCUCACAUUAUGGAACAAAUGAAGAUGAAAACCCUUCACCUUAAAAUCCCCCUCUAGAAUAAUAAAGAGCUUUAACAGGCUUACAGGGGGAAACACUACGCUGGGAGCUUUGAAGAGGGCCGAGAAAGAGAAGGAUCCAGGAUGAAAUAAAGUCAGGUUUACAGUGGAAGCUAAAAAGGACAACAUUUAGGACUUUUUAUUUCUAAAAAGGUCUCUUUAGUCUCUGCUGCAAGCUAGAAAAGGAUGAAAGACUUGCAACAGCACAGAGCAAACAACAUGUACUACUUUAUAUGUAAAGAGGGAGCACCUUCAAGUCACAUUUGGCAUUCAUUGGGAGGUUGAGAAAAGCAGACGGGAUAAGUACCUUUUUUCACAACUGUGACGGCAGCAUUUUAGAUGACCUCAAAACGUGCAGCGCAGUGCAGACGAGAGGAGAGGAAGAAAACUGACAAUCGCAAAACAUCACAUUUCAUAAAGCGUAACUCACUUAAAAUCAUCCGUCUGUGUCGUAGUAAGAAUUAUCGCUAACUGGUUUGUGUUACCGUGUUUCUGUCCCUGAAAGUUUUAUUUUUAAUCAGGUAGUUUUCGCUGUAGAUAGGGGAUUUAACGCCAGGAUUGAUAGCUCUACUGAGAAAGGCUGCUCCCGCUGUGUUGUGUGCACCAGAUUAGCAGAAAAGAGGAGUCACUGCAGAGUUUAAGGAGCUGAUCCGUGCCCGUUUGAGCGUUUGAGUUGAUGCUCAUGUUUCCACGGGGAGCGCCGGUGUCCCGGAAGCCUCUUCCUGCUCGAGACAUGCGUCAAGCAGGAAGGGAGAUCAACCUCAUUAUGAAGUAAAACAUGGAAAAAACACAAUUCGGUUUGUUUCAAAAUAGAACAUCAUGUAUGACCUUGGUAACGGCACAAGAAAUAGAACAUAUUUAUAAACAUAAAACCUUACAUAGAAAAACUCAGCAAUCAUGUAUUGCAUUUAACUAUAGUAGACACACGAAGGCAACAAGUGAACAGUAAAUCAAAUAUGAUCAUAUCACAGUAUAAGUCAUUUCAUAUCACUGUAACAGUAGAUAUCGUAUGUUUUCCCCUCUGUAAAUUCAAUUACUGGUUUAAAAAUAACCGUACUAUCACAUUUUUUCAUUUUCCUUUUAUUUUGAAACUUGGAUUUGUAAAUAAAUGCAAACAAAUUGCCCGACCAGUCUGGCGAUUUUUUAAUCAUACCUUUGGCAAAAGACUCUGCCAAGCUCUUUCAUAUGAGAGGAGCUGCUGCAGCGUUAGUUUUUGGUGCAGCAGUGCGUCACGCAUCUUUUAUCUCUCGUAAUAGAGCUUUGCGUGUUUCGUCUUUAGGUGGUUGAAGAGGUGGUUGGUGUUUCCUCCUCCAGCAACGACGGCUACACACACUCUUUGCAUAGUUUUGUCCUCUUCUUCCUCAUGUUGGGUGGGUCGGGCUGCCUCUGUUUGCUCGACACUGCCACUAAUCUCCGCGUCCGCCAUGACCACCACCAGUGAAGCUGUUUCUUCUUCGUCAAAACUAGGCCAAGCAGUCUGCUGCUGGACAACCUGGUGCUUAUUGAGAGCGCACCCAAACCUAACCAAUCAAACGGAGCGAACAACCUCCGCAUGACACGCUGGUGAAUAUAUGGAAACGCACCCAAAUGGAUGCGCUCUGGCUUUUCUGUUAGUGAGCGCAGACAACUACAUGCUGCCUCAGAGAGAUGUGGCAGACAUCUGCUCAAUCUCUCCAGUAUCGCAAAAUUUCUACCGGUCCAAGAUCCAAGAGUAAACUUUUUCAGAGGAUCUCAGAUACUCAAAGGGUCAUACUAUUAAACGUCCUUAUUUCUCAGGGCUGCACAGUCACUUUUCAGUCACUUGAGGCCUUCAUCAGAGCAGGUACAAAGUGUCUGCACAGCUGCCGCCACCAGCCUGGUCACAGAAUCGGUAAGGUUUCAGUAGAUAAAGUAUUAGGUGAAUAUAUUUACGCAGAUUUGACAUUCACGUAAAAUCAAACGUUAAAUAUGAAACUUAAAAACUCCCAAGACAGUCGAACAAGGAGAGAGGUCAAAUCCACUGUUCAGACCACGAUACUGAGUCACCUUAAACCCGUUUAAACCCACAGCAGCGAUUGUUUGGCGAAGUACACGACUGUCAUUUUCCACCCAUGAAUAGAUGUCUGAGUAUUGUUCAUCUUUUGUGCUGUAUAUCAGUCAUAUGUGGGUGAGCACCUUGUAAGUUAUCAUGCACACAAAACAUUGUGAACUUCGAAAGGGCAUGGCGAUGACGGUCUUUUCUUCGUAAGUGGACAAAUACCUUGUGAGCCGUGGUAAGUAUGAUGUCCUUGUGUGUCUUUAUUCCUCUCUGAUACUGUGAGUUCUCAUCUGAUUUUGUGGUGUCGUGAGUCCAGCUGCCCCUUUGUUUCCAGGAUCAGGGCGCUGGCGUUGAAUGGAGUAAAAUUGAUACUUACGUUUUAGGUGUGAGGACAUGUAACAAGGAGUAUCAGAUGUUUCAGACAAGCAGGAAGUUUUAGCGAUUAAAGGAAAGACAUACAUGAAACCUGGAGUUACUGGAUUAAGAAAAUUAUGUACUUGUAGCUUUCAAAACUGUGCUUUCUAAACCUCUGUAUUUUUUGACUGUGGGAUGCUUCCAGGUCUUAUAUAGGUAUCAGGGGAGUUGAUCUUAAAACUAAAUCUUAUUUACAUUAAAAAAUCAGGCACUGAACUUUACACACAGACCCAAGAGGCAACUUUAGCGAGAGAGAGAGGCAUAAAGUGAGAGGCACAUUACCAGCGACAGACAAACUUAUACUAACCACGCUUUAUAGUUCAUACCCAGGAUAUAAAUGUUCUUACUGCAAGGCAAAUAAAACGUUUCUUUAUCGCCAAGUCUCCUGCGUUUUGUUAACAGUAUGGAAACUCUGAUCUGUUAACAUGCAAAACUUGAAACGAAGGCACCCUGCAGCUACCAAACGUAUGUUUUGUUUUUAUGAAUAAGACCAUGAUGAGACUAAAAUAUUGGCAGUGGACCAGCAGACAUUUAAAAAAUCCACAUUUUCUCCAACUGAGGGCGUAAUCUGUCAAACUGCAUUCCUGAGACAGGCUGAGUUAUAACAUUGAGGGGUGCUGCAUUAACUCGGUCACUUAUCUGCAACAAGUGUGCUAUGGGUACAAAUUCUUACUGCAGUCAUCCAUCUUUCCCGUUUUUAUCGUAGGUUUCUUUUCCACGAUGUUUGUCAGUGACACAGCCAUGGCUACUGGGUGGCACCACUUUAAUAUUCAACAUUUGAUGUUGUGUUUAGCUUUUGCCGCUCAUCUCUUUGUGCCAAAGCUUUGAUUUAUCCUCGUUUGAUCAACUCUAAACCAUCAAAUGUGAAGAACACCGUGAAGUAGUCUAUCCAGCAUGUCUGUAUACAAGGACAGUUUUAAAAGUGCAACACAGCCCUUUUUAUUAUGAACACACACCUGUGUUUGCUUCAUUUUUAUUUGAAGUCGGCCAUUAAAUAUUAACGUUGUGGCUGCAGAAGGAGAUUUUUUUCUCUUGGCUUGGAGUCAGGGUCAGUCCUCCAUAUUUGCAUUUUUUCAUCUGUGCAUACUGAACUCUCCUUACCUUAGCAGAUCAGGCAGGGGAGUCUAUGGGAAACUAUUCAACCAAGAUAUGCAAGUUAAAGUGUCAAAAAGUGAAUUGCUGAAAGACGAUGAUUCAAAUGCAAUGACAGUUUAUUAACUAAACAAAAAUGUUCUGAGUUUACAUCGACUGAAUCUCAACUUCUGUUAUAAAAUAUUAAACAUGGCUGAAUGUUUUUUGUCUAAAGACUGAGCCGUAAUCUUAAAAAAGAUGGCAGAAUUAGCACUGGAAUCUGGUCAGUGGCAGUGAAGGGACCCCUGAUACAGUUGGUGGUCAUGAGGUCACCAUCGGCCACCCUGUUAUUCUAAAUAAUUGUUGGCUAUUCGCCUCAUCACAUGUAGAAUAUUCACAUUUGAUUGUCAAAAGCCAGCAUGACGAUAUCUUUUGUAAGAAUAAACUAGAGGACAAGAUAAGUAAAUACCUCACACAGGGCACCAAAAUUGACACAGAGUUCCUCACGGGAGCUUUAAUGUCAGUCUUUGUGGUAACCUUUCAAAGUAAAAAAGGUAUUAACAAGAACAUAGAUAUAGACAUAGAUAUUAUCCUCACAGGUAUGGGAUAACUAUGGGAUUAUGGGAUUAUUACACCCCAAUAAACGUGCCCCAGUCUGGAUCCACCACUGCUCUUAUGCAAGAGAUUCUGUCUGCUAUUGAUGUCACCAGAGCAACAUUUCAGCCUAUCAGGGUGGGGAGUGGAAAAGUUGUAUUUUGGCUUUAAUAGACAGGUUUCCUGUGUACAAUACUAGGUGUGUGUGCAACCAUGGGUCAAAAGCCUGCUUUGGAGUGAACUGAUAUCAAUGAAGAUGCCAUAUUGUUUGCAAGUUCUCCCUGACGCAACUGCAAUUAAAUGUAAUUUAAUUGAAAAAUCG